ACGAACGCUGGCGGCGUGCUUAACACCUGCAAGUCGAACGGUGAUGCUCCAGCUUGCUGGCGUGGAUCAGUGGCGAACGGGUGAGUAACACGUGAGCAACCUGCCCCAGACUCUGGAAUAAGCGCUGGAAACGGCGUCUAAUACUGGAUACGAAACUGGCCCGCAUGGGCAUGGUUUGGAAAGUUUUUCGGUUUGGGAUGGGCUCGCGGCCUAUCAGCUUGUUGGUGAGGUAAUGGCUCACCAAGGCGACGACGGGUAGCCGGCCUGAGAGGGCGACCGGCCACACUGGGACUGAGACACGGCCCAGACUCCUACGGGAGGCAGCAGUGGGGAAUAUUGCACAAUGGGCGAAAGCCUGAUGCAGCGACGCCGCGUGAGGGAUGACGGCCUUCGGGUUGUAAACCUCUUUCAGCAGGGAAGAAGCGAAAGUGACGGUACCUGCAGAAGAAGCACCGGCUAACUACGUG
rnacentral:rRNA from 1 species